GACGAACGCUGGCGGCGCGCCUAACACAUGCAGGUCGAACGAGCGAGAGAGAGCUUGCUUUCUCGAGCGAGUGGCGAACGGGUGAGUAACGCGUGAGGAACCUGCCUCAAAGAGGGGGACAACAGUUGGAAACGACUGCUAAUACCGCAUAAGCCCACGGUGCCGCAUGGCACAGAGGGAAAAGGAGCAAUCCGCUUUGAGAUGGCCUCGCGUCCGAUUAGCUAGUUGGUGAGGUAAUGGCCCACCAAGGCGACGAUCGGUAGCCGGACUGAGAGGUUGAACGGCCACAUUGGGACUGAGACACGGCCCAGACUCCUACGGGAGGCAGCAGUGGGGAAUAUUGCACAAUGGGGGAAACCCUGAUGCAGCGACGCCGCGUGGAGGAAGAAGGUCUUCGGAUUGUAAACUCCUGUUGUUGGGGAAGAUAAUGACGGUACCCAACAAGGAAGUGACGGCUAACUACGU
rnacentral:rRNA from 1 species